UAUGAUUUGCUUUGUUUUUAACGGAUGUUUUAUUUUUAAUAUUUGCUUUGCUCCAAAAACUUACGGUUAUCCGGAUUUUUCGGAUCAAAUCGAAACGAAUAACGAAUCAAAUCAAAUUUAACAAAUAAAAUGCACAGCCCUACAUAUACCAAAGAACUAUAUAUGUUGGAGUAUAUAAUUUUUUUCUUUUUUUUACAGUGACAUUUCAUACUCAUUAAAGUAAAC
rnacentral:lncRNA from 1 species